GAGGAAUAUUGGUCAAUGGGCGAGAGCCUGAACCAGCCAAGUAGCGUGCAGGAUGACGGCCCUAUGGGUUGUAAACUGCUUUUGUAUGGGGAUAAAGUCAGUCACGUGUGAUUGUUUGCAGGUACCAUACGAAUAAGGACCGGCUAAUUCCGUGCCAGCAGCCGCGGUAAUACGGAAGGUCCAGGCGUUAUCCGGAUUUAUUGGGUUUAAAGGGAGCGUAGGCCGGAGAUUAAGUGUGUUGUGAAAUGUAGACGCUCAACGUCUGACUUGCAGCGCAUACUGGUUUCCUUGAGUACGCACAACGUUGGCGGAAUUCGUCGUGUAGCGGUGAAAUGCUUAGAUAUGACGAAGAACUCCGAUUGCGAAGGCAGCUGACGGGAGCGCAACUGACGCUUAAGCUCGAAGGUGCGGGUAUCAAACAGGAUUAGAUACCCUGGUAGUCCGCACAGUAAACGAUGGAUGCCCGCUGUUGGUACCUGGUAUCAGCGGCUAAGCGAAAGCAUUAAGCAUCCCACCUGGGGAGUACGCCGGCAACGGUG
rnacentral:rRNA from 1 species